GACGAACGCUGGCGGCGUGCUUAACACAUGCAAGUCGAACGGAAAGGCCCUGCUUUUGUGGGGUGCUCGAGUGGCGAACGGGUGAGUAACACGUGAGUAACCUGCCCUUGACUUUGGGAUAACUUCAGGAAACUGGGGCUAAUACCGGAUAGGAGCUCCUGCUGCAUGGUGGGGGUUGGAAAGUUUCGGCUGUUGGGGGUGGACGCGCGGCUUAUCAGCUUGUUGGUGGGGUAGUGGCUUACCAAGGCAUUGACGGGUAGCCGGCCUGGGUGGGUGACCGGCCACAAUGGGACUGAGAGACGGCCCAGACGCCUACGGGAGGCAGCAGUGGGGAAUAUUGCACAAUGAGCGGAAGCCUGAUGCAGCAACGCCGCGGGCGGGAUGACGGCCUUCGGGUUGUAAACCGCUUUCGCCUGUGACGAAGCGUGAGUGACGGUAAUGGAUAAAGAAGCACCGGCUAACUACGUG
rnacentral:rRNA from 1 species